rfam:Paenisporosarcina sp. HGH0030 genomic scaffold acAqH-supercont1.3, whole genome shotgun sequence.
AAGUGAAAAAGGCAAACCAUUGGGAAACCAUGGGGCGCAAAGCCAAGGGCCUGAAACAUGUAGAUUUACAUGAAGGUAGCCGGUUGCCACA